rnacentral:rRNA from 1 species
AUUGAACGCUGGCGGCAUGCUUAACACAUGCAAGUCGAACGGUGAACGAGGGAGCUUGCUCCCUCCGGAUCAGUGGCGAACGGGUGAGUAACACGUGAGCAAUCUGCCCUGGACUCUGGGAUAAGCGUUGGAAACGACGUCUAAUACCGGAUACGAGGCGUGGGGGCAUCCCCAACGCCUGGAAAGAACUUCGGUCCAGGAUGAGCUCGCGGCCUAUCAGCUAGUUGGUGAGGUAACGGCUCACCAAGGCGACGACGGGUAGCCGGCCUGAGGGGGUGACCGGCCACAGUGGGCCUGAGACACGGGCCAAACUCCUACGGGGGGCAGCAGUGGGGAAUCUGGCGCAAUGGGCGAAAGCCUGACGCAGCCAUGCCGCGUGCGGGAUGACGGCCUUCGGGUUGUAAACCGCUUUUAGUAAGGAAGAAGGGGCUUCGGCCUUGACGGUACUUGCAGAAAAAGGACCGGCUAACUACGUGCCAGCCGCCGCAGUAAGAC